rnacentral:misc_RNA from 1 species
GAUGAAGAACGCAGCGAAAUGCGAUAAGUAGUGUGAAUUGCAGAAUUCAGUGAAUCAUCGAAUCUUUGAACGCACAUUGCGCCCGCCAGUAUUCUGGCGGGCAUGCCUGUUCGAGCGUCAUUUCAACCAUCAAGCCCCCGGCUUGUGUUGGGGACCUGCGGCUGCCGCAGGCCCUGAAAUGCAGUGGCGGGCUCGCUGUCACUCCGAGCGUAGUAGUUACAUCUCGCUCUGGGCGUGCUGCGGGUUCCGGCCGUUAAAAGCCUUAUUUACCCAAGGUUGACCUCGGAUCAGGUAGGAAGACCCGCUGAACUUAAGCAUAUCAAUAAGCGAGGA